rnacentral:rRNA from 1 species
AUUGAACGCUGGCGGCAGGCUUAACACAUGCAAGUCGAGCGGGGUGAUGGUGCUUGCACUAUCACUUAGCGGCGGACGGGUGAGUAAUGCUUAGGAAUCUGCCUAUUAGUGGGGGACAACAUCUCGAAAGGGAUGCUAAUACCGCAUACGUCAUACGGGAGAAAGCAGGGGAUCACUUGUGACCUUGCGCUAAUAGAUGAGCCUAAGUCGGAUUAGCCAGUUGGUGGGGUAAAGGCCUACCAAGGCGACGAUCUGUAGCGGGUCUGAGAGGAGGAUCCGCCACACUGGGACUGAGACACGGCCCAGACUCCUACGGGAGGCAGCAGUGGGGAAUAUUGGACAAUGGGGGGAACCCUGAUCCAGCCAUGCCACGUGUGUGAAGAAGGCCUUAUGGUUGUAAAGCACUUUAAGCGAGGAGGAGGCUCUUUUGGUUAAUACCCAAGAUGAGUGGACGUUACUCGCAGAAUAAGCACCGGCUAACUCUGUGCCAGCCGCCGCAGUAA